AGACAACAAACUAGAUACAGACACAUAAACAGAUAGAGAAAUAGCCAGAUACAUAUACAGGCAAAGUGAGAAACAGAAGUUUUACAAAACAUAUUUACAGCUAGCUAGCUAUGUGACAGAUAAACUAAACAAAAGUUGCCCAAAACAACAUUUCUUCCAAAUGUGGGUGUUUAAAUCUGAUAUUUUCUAUUUUAUAAUAUUCCGCUUCAUUGUUUUAAAAUGCUAGUUGUACUCAGUUGAUUUCAUGAACCUCCAGCAGGUCGUGACCAUAGUGUGAAAACACUGGUAUUGAAACCCCUAGUGGUACUCAGUUGAUUUCAUGAAUCUCCAGCAGGUCAUGACCAUAGUGUGAAAACACUGGUGUUGAAACCCUAACCAAGAGUGCACAGCCAGUGUGCAGCAGAAUGAGCCUCCAGUCACCAGCCCAGAGCUCUCAGACAGAAUUGAGUUCCCAUACAGUAGGACUUUCCACUCAUGUCUGCGGUCUAGGAGGAGAUUGGGUUGAGCAGCCACCAGGCACGAUGGAGCAACAAUUAACCCUGGAGUUGUGGAGGCAGUGGCAAAAAGGAGAAAAUGUGGCACAUAUACACCAUGGAAUACUAUGCAGCCAUAAAAAAGGAUGAGUUUGUGUCCUUUGUAGGGACAUGGAUGCAGCUGGAAACCAUCAUUCUUAGCAAACUAUCACAAGAACAGAAAACGAAACACCGCAUGUUCUCACUCAUAGGUGGGAACUGAACAAUGAGAUCAUUCGGACUCGGGAAGGGGAACAUCACACACCGGGGCCUAUCAUGGGGAGGGGGGAGAGGGGAGGAAUUGCAUUGGGAGUUAUACCUGAUGUAAAUGACGAGUUGAUGGGUGCUGACGAGUUGAUGGGUGCAGCACACCAACAUGGCACAAGUAUACAUAUGUAACAAACCUGCACGUUAUGCACAUGUACCCUAGAACUUAAAGUAUAAUAAAAAUAAAAAAUAAAUAAAUAAAUAAAUAAAUAAAUAAAAAGAAAUACUAAAAAAAAAAAACAGUAG
rnacentral:lncRNA from 1 species